rfam:Ailuropoda melanoleuca scaffold2266_2, whole genome shotgun sequence.
GCCUGGCUGGUUCAGUCGGUGGAGCGUUUGACUCUUGAUCUCAGGGUUGUGGGUUCAAGCCCCAUGUUGGGUG